rnacentral:rRNA from 1 species
GCAUAUCAAUAAGCGGAGGAAAAGAAACCAACCAGGGAUUGCCCCAGUAACGGCGAGUGAAGCGGCAACAGCUCAGAUUUGGAAUCUGGCCCCCAGGGCCCGAGUUGUAAUCUGGAGAGGAUGCUUCUGGCGCGGCGCCUUCCGAGUUCCCUGGAACGGGACGCCGGAGAGGGUGAGAGCCCCGUACGGUUGGACGCCUAGCCUUUGUGAAGCUCCCUUCGACGAGUCGAGUAGUUUGGGAAUGCUGCUCAAAAUGGGAGGUAAAUUUCUUCUAAAGCUAAAUACCGGCCAGAGACCGAUAGCGCACAAGUAGAGUGAUCGAAAGAUGAAAAGCACUUUGAAAAGAGGGUCAAACAGUACGUGAAAUUGUUGAAAGGGAAGCGCCCGUGGCCAGACUUGUGCCCCGCGGACCACCCGGCGCCCUCAGCGCCGGUGCACUCCGCGGGGCGCAGGCCAGCAUCGGUUUUCCUAGGGGGAUAAAGGCGGCGGGAACGUGGCUCCUUCGGGAGUGUUAUAGCCCGUCGUGCCAUGCCCCUGGGGGGACCGAGGACCGCGCUUCGGCAAGGAUGCUGGCGUAAUGGCCACCGGCGACCCGUCUUGAAACACGGACCAAGGAGUCAAGCAUUGGGGCGAGUGUCUGGGUGCCAAACCCGCACGCGAAAUGAAAGUGAACGCAGGUGAGAGCUUCGGCGCAUCAUCGACCGAUCCUGAUGUUCUCGGAUGGAUUUGAGUAAGAGCCUUACCGCUUGGACCCGAAAGAUGGUGAACUAUGCCUGUAUAGGGUGAAGCCAGAGGAAACUCUGGUGGAGGCUCGCAGCGGUUCUGACGUGCAAAUCGAUCGUCAAAUAUGGGCAUGGGGCGAAAGACUAAUCGAACCAUCUAGUAGCUGGUUACCGCCGA